AUCAAUGUCAGUGUUGAAAUUAUGAAAUUAAGAGGUAUUCACAUUAUUUAAAUAUCUUUUUUAGGCAAGUUGGACAAAUGCAAAUAAAACGCAACGUGAAAAGCUACUUGAGCUGAUAAGUCGUCUUGCAGAAGACGAUAAGGAUGGUGUGAUGGCACAUAAAGUGUUGAACCUUCUUUGGAAUCUGGCCCGUAGUGAUGAUGUGCCUGUAGACAUAAUGGAUGCAGCUCUCAGUGCCCACACCAAAAUAUUAAAUUGCAGUUGUUCCCAGGAUCAAAAUACACAAAAGAUUCAGUGGAUAGACCAUUUUGUAGAAGAACUUCGAUCAAAUGACAAAUGGGUAAUUCCUGCCCUGAAACAAAUAAGAGAAAUUUGUAGUUUGUUUGGUGAAGCACCUCAAAAUGUAAGUCAAAUUCAGCGAAGUCCCCAUAUAUUUUAUCGCCAUGAUUUAAUCAGCCAACUUCAGCACAAUCAUGUCUUAGUUACUUUGGUAGCAGAAAACCUUGCAACUUACAUGGAUAGCAUGAGAUCAUAUGUUACAGGUGUGUAUGAUAAGAUAACUUUGGGGCUCAAGAUAGAUUUUCCUUCCGUUUUUGUUUGGGU
rnacentral:lncRNA from 1 species